CUUUGAAAUUCAUCGUAUCUGGGAAAGAUAAAGACAUAUUUCAGUCAAGAGUCAAGAGAAAGAUCGUUGAUGAACAGAAAAGAGCAGAUUUGUGUGCAUCUGUGACCACAAACAUCACUGCAGGAGAAGAAAUGAUGUUCGACUGCGGAGAUCCUGACAGCUCAUGUAGACAGGUAGCAGGAUGCUUGGUCCAUUACUGACGGAUGGACAACACCCUCAUCAGGCCACUACACCCUCCACCCAGGAUCCACUUGGUCUGUCUCUACAUGUCAGAACGAGUAACUUCAGUCUUCAAUGGGAUGAAAGACAAAAAAUAUCUUAAGCAGAAUGCUGAGCAAAUCAGUGGAAGUGGAUCCUACUAUUGAGGAAUGCCUUCAGGAAGUCAAAACUAUGUGCAAAGACUUAUUGUAGAGUUUACAAUAAGCAUUCAAAUGAUCAGAUAUAAAUACUGGUGUGAAUUUACAGGUUUUGAUCACUGGUCUUAUCAAAUAUGAACCACAAACAGCUACAGCAAUGUCCAUGUGGUUUCAGGAAAUAGUGACACAAAUGAUGAUCUUUCUGAAAUAAGGGCUGCCAACUCAGAAAAGACUUCAGUCUUCAGUCUUGGACACAUCAGUAAAUCACUAGUGCCAUUAAAUCAAAACGGUAUGUUCCAUUCACCAUAAACAAUACUGAAGAGCUGAAGAUCAUUGUCUUUUCAUGUUUUCAACUUUGUACAGUAUGUAUUACUGACAUUACAUUUUUUUCAUUCAUUCAUAUAUUUAUUCACUAUAUAUAUUUUUUAUCUUUUAAUUUUGUUAAAUAGCAAAACCCAGAAAGCCCUGGUCAGAAACAGAGAGGAAAGUCAUCGAACACUGUUUCAAGAUCUACUUGGAGGAAAUGAAGGCUCCUGGAAAAGUGGACUGUGAAAGAUGCAUAAAUGCAAACAGGAUUCUAAAGGGUAAUGGAAGAGACUGGAAAACAGUUAAAUACUUUGUGCUCAACAGAAUAAUUUCAGUUAAGAGAAGUUUGGGUCAACAGUACUGAGCCCAUAAACCCUGAGAGCUAUUUUUAGAGAGAUUAUGAGAAUAAAGUUUGACUUGAUUUCAUUCAAAAUGCUGUUUUGUUUUUUCACAAUAUCCUUUUCAAUGCAGGAAGUCUGCAUAUAUAUAUAUAUAUAUAUAUAUAUAUAUGUAUAUGUAUGUAUGUAUUUAUGUAUAUGUAUGUAUGUAUUACCUCCAAAGAUCCAAAUGGUUAUCUGUUUUCUUGCCUUUACAUUUAACAAUUUACAUUUCACAUGAAUGUUUAGAAUAUUCUGCCUAUUUCUGAAUGUAAUGGCAAUGUUGAUAAUAAAAAUGGAGCCCCUAAAUCAA